rnacentral:rRNA from 1 species
UUAAGCGACUAAGCGUACACGGUGGAUGCCCUGGCAGUCAGAGGCGAUGAAGGACGUGCUAAUCUGCGAUAAGCGUCGGUAAGGUGAUAUGAACCGUUAUAACCGGCGAUUUCCGAAUGGGGAAACCCAGUGUGAUUCGUCACACUAUCAUUAACUGAAUCCAUAGGUUAAUGAGGCGAACCGGGGGAACUGAAACAUCUAAGUACCCCGAGGAAAAGAAAUCAACCGAGAUUCCCCCAGUAGCGGCGAGCGAACGGGGAGCAGCCCAGAGCCUGAAUCAGUGUGUGUGUUAGUGGAAGCGUCUGGAAAGGCGUGCGAUACAGGGUGACAGCCCCGUACACAAAAAUGCACAUAUUGUGAGCUCGAUGAGUAGGGCGGGACACGUGGUAUCCUGUCUGAAUAUGGGGGGACCAUCCUCCAAGGCUAAAUACUCCUGACUGACCGAUAGUGAACCAGUACCGUGAGGGAAAGGCGAAAAGAACCCCGGCGAGGGGAGUGAAAAAGAACCUGAAACCGUGUACGUACAAGCAGUGGGAGCACGCUUAGGCGUGUGACUGCGUACCUUUUGUAUAAUGGGUCAGCGACUUAUAUUCUGUAGCAAGGUUAACCGAAUAGGGGAGCCGAAGGGAAACCGAGUCUUAACUGGGCGUUAAGUUGCAGGGUAUAGACCCGAAACCCGGUGAUCUAGCCAUGGGCAGGUUGAAGGUUGGGUAACACUAACUGGAGGACCGAACCGACUAAUGUUGAAAAAUUAGCGGAUGACUUGUGGCUGGGGGUGAAAGGCCAAUCAAACCGGGAGAUAGCUGGUUCUCCCCGAAAGCUAUUUAGGUAGCGCCUCGUGAAUUCAUCUCCGGGGGUAGAGCACUGUUUCGGCAAGGGGGUCAUCCCGACUUACCAACCCGAUGCAAACUGCGAAUACCGGAGAAUGUUAUCACGGGAGACACACGGCGGGUGCUAACGUCCGUCGUGAAGAGGGAAACAACCCAGACCGCCAGCUAAGGUCCCAAAGUCAUGGUUAAGUGGGAAACGAUGUGGGAAGGCCCAGACAGCCAGGAUGUUGGCUUAGAAGCAGCCAUCAUUUAAAGAAAGCGUAAUAGCUCACUGGUCGAGUCGGCCUGCGCGGAAGAUGUAACGGGGCUAAACCAUGCACCGAAGCUGCGGCAGCGACACUAUGUGUUGUUGGGUAGGGGAGCGUUCUGUAAGCCUGUGAAGGUGUACUGUGAGGUAUGCUGGAGGUAUCAGAAGUGCGAAUGCUGACAUAAGUAACGAUAAAGCGGGUGAAAAGCCCGCUCGCCGGAAGACCAAGGGUUCCUGUCCAACGUUAAUCGGGGCAGGGUGAGUCGACCCCUAAGGCGAGGCCGAAAGGCGUAGUCGAUGGGAAACAGGUUAAUAUUCCUGUACUUGGUGUUACUGCGAAGGGGGGACGGAGAAGGCUAUGUUGGCCGGGCGACGGUUGUCCCGGUUUAAGCGUGUAGGCUGGUUUUCCAGGCAAAUCCGGAAAAUCAAGGCUGAGGCGUGAUGACGAGGCACUACGGUGCUGAAGCAACAAAUGCCCUGCUUCCAGGAAAAGCCUCUAAGCAUCAGGUAACAUCAAAUCGUACCCCAAACCGACACAGGUGGUCAGGUAGAGAAUACCAAGGCGCUUGAGAGAACUCGGGUGAAGGAACUAGGCAAAAUGGUGCCGUAACUUCGGGAGAAGGCACGCUGAUAUGUAGGUGAAGUCCCUCGCGGAUGGAGCUGAAAUCAGUCGAAGAUACCAGCUGGCUGCAACUGUUUAUUAAAAACACAGCACUGUGCAAACACGAAAGUGGACGUAUACGGUGUGACGCCUGCCCGGUGCCGGAAGGUUAAUUGAUGGGGUCAGCGCAAGCGAAGCUCUUGAUCGAAGCCCCGGUAAACGGCGGCCGUAACUAUAACGGUCCUAAGGUAGCGAAAUUCCUUGUCGGGUAAGUUCCGACCUGCACGAAUGGCGUAAUGAUGGCCAGGCUGUCUCCACCCGAGACUCAGUGAAAUUGAACUCGCUGUGAAGAUGCAGUGUACCCGCGGCAAGACGGAAAGACCCCGUGAACCUUUACUAUAGCUUGACACUGAACAUUGAGCCUUGAUGUGUAGGAUAGGUGGGAGGCUUUGAAGUGUGGACGCCAGUCUGCAUGGAGCCGACCUUGAAAUACCACCCUUUAAUGUUUGAUGUUCUAACGUGGACCCGUAAUCCGGGUUGCGGACAGUGUCUGGUGGGUAGUUUGACUGGGGCGGUCUCCUCCUAAAGAGUAACGGAGGAGCACGAAGGUUGGCUAAUCCUGGUCGGACAUCAGGAGGUUAGUGCAAUGGCAUAAGCCAGCUUGACUGCGAGCGUGACGGCGCGAGCAGGUGCGAAAGCAGGUCAUAGUGAUCCGGUGGUUCUGAAUGGAAGGGCCAUCGCUCAACGGAUAAAAGGUACUCCGGGGAUAACAGGCUGAUACCGCCCAAGAGUUCAUAUCGACGGCGGUGUUUGGCACCUCGAUGUCGGCUCAUCACAUCCUGGGGCUGAAGUAGGUCCCAAGGGUAUGGCUGUUCGCCAUUUAAAGUGGUACGCGAGCUGGGUUUAGAACGUCGUGAGACAGUUCGGUCCCUAUCUGCCGUGGGCGCUGGAGAACUGAGGGGGGCUGCUCCUAGUACGAGAGGACCGGAGUGGACGCAUCACUGGUGUUCGGGUUGUCAUGCCAAUGGCACUGCCCGGUAGCUAAAUGCGGAAGAGAUAAGUGCUGAAAGCAUCUAAGCACGAAACUUGCCCCGAGAUGAGUUCUCCCUGACUCCUUGAGAGUCCUGAAGGAACGUUGAAGACGACGACGUUGAUAGGCCGGGUGUGUAAGCGCAGCGAUGCGUUGAGCUAACCGGUACUAAUGAACCGUGAGGCUUAACCUU